CGAUUCUGGCUCAGGAUGAACGCUAGCUACAGGCUUAACACAUGCAAGUCGAGGGGCAGCAUUGGGAUAGCUUGCUAUCCAGAUGGCGACCGGCGCACGGGUGAGUAACGCGUAUCCAACCUUCCCCAUAGUAGGGCACAGCCCGGCGAAAGUCGGAUUAAUUCCCUAUGCAGUCCAGAGAGGACAUCUGACCUGGACGAAAGAUUCAUCGCUAUGGGAUGGGGGAUGCGUCUGAUUAGGUUGCAGGCGGGGUAACGGCCCACCUGGCCGACGAUCAGUAGGGGUUCUGAGAGGAAGGUCCCCCACAUUGGAACUGAGACACGGUCCAAACUCCUACGGGAGGCAGCAGUGAGGAAUAUUGGUCAAUGGACGGAAGUCUGAACCAGCCAAGUAGCGUGCAGGAAGACGGCCCUAUGGGUUGUAAACUUCUUUUGCAGGAGGGUAAAGUGAGCUACGUGUAGUUCAUUGCAAGUACCCUGCGAAUAAGCAUCGGCUAACUCCGUGCCAGCCGCCGC
rnacentral:rRNA from 1 species